rnacentral:rRNA from 1 species
GCGGAGGAAAAGAAACCAACAGGGAUUGCCUCAGUAGCGGCGAGUGAAGCGGCAAAAGCUCAAAUUUGAAAUCUGGCGUCUUUGGCGUCCGAGUUGUAAUUUGAAGAAGGUAUCUUUGGGCCCGGCUCUUGUCUAUGUUCCUUGGAACAGGACGUCACAGAGGGUGAGAAUCCCGUGCGAUGAGAUGACCCGGGUCUGUGUAAAGUUCCUUCGACGAGUCGAGUUGUUUGGGAAUGCAGCUCUAAGUGGGUGGUAAAUUCCAUCUAAAGCUAAAUAUUGGCGAGAGACCGAUAGCGAACAAGUACAGUGAUGGAAAGAUGAAAAGAACUUUGAAAAGAGAGUGAAAAAGUACGUGAAAUUGUUGAAAGGGAAGGGCUUGAGAUCAGACUUGGUAUUUUGCAUGUUGCUCUCUCGGGGGCGGCCGCUGCGGUUUACCGGGCCAGCAUCGGUUUGGAGCGGCAGGAUAAUGGCGGAGGAAUGUGGCACGGCUUCUGCUGUGUGUUAUAGCCUCUGACGAUACUGCCAGCCUAGACCGAGGACUGCGGUU